rnacentral:rRNA from 1 species
UACAGAGGUCUCAAGCGUUGUUCGGAUUCAUUGGGCGUAAAGGGUGCGUAGGUGGCGCCGUAAGUCAGGUGUGAAAUUCGGAGCUUAACUCCGAACUGCAUUUGAUACUGCGGUGCUUGAGGACUGGAGAGGAGACUGGAAUUUACGGUGUAGCAGUGAAAUGCGUACGAGAUCGUAAGGAAGACCAGUGGCGAAGGCGGGUCUCUGGACAGUUCCUGACACUGAGGCGACGAAGGCCAGGGGAGCAAACGGG